AUACGGAGGAUGCGAGCGUUAUCCGGAUUUAUUGGGUUUAAAGGGAGCGUAGGUGGGAUAUUAAGUCAGCUGUGAAAGUUUGGGGCUCAACCUUAAAAUUGCAGUUGAUACUGGUUUCCUUGAGUACGGUAUAGGUGGGCGGAAUUCGUGGUGUAGCGGUGAAAUGCGUAGAUAUCACGAAGAACUCCGAUCGCGAAGGCAGCUCACCGGGCCGGAACUGACACUGAUGCUCGAAAGUGCGGGUAUCAAACAGGAUUAGAUACCCUGGUAGUCCGCACAGUAAACGAUGAAUACUCGCUGUUUGCGAUACACUGUAAGCGGCCAAGCGAAAGCGUUAAGUAUUCCACCUGGAGAGUACGCCGGCAACGGUGAAACUCAAAUGAAUUGACGGGG
rnacentral:rRNA from 1 species